AGAGUUUGAUCCUGGCUCAGAUUGAACGCUGGCGGCAGGCCUAACACAUGCAAGUCGAGCGGAAACAGGAGAGUAGCUUGCUACUUUCGCUGUCGAGCGGCGGACGGGUGAGUAAUGCCUAGAUAUCUGCCUAGUCGUGGGGGAUAACAGUUGGAAACGACUGCUAAUACCGCAUACGCCCUACGGGGGAAAGGAGGGGACCUUCGGGCCUUUCGCGAUUAGAUGAGUCUAGGUGGGAUUAGCUAGUAGGUGAGGUAAUGGCUCACCUAGGCGACGAUCCCUAGCUGUUCUGAGAGGAUGAUCAGCCACACUGGGACUGAGACACGGCCCAGACUCCUACGGGAGGCAGCAGUGGGGAAUCUUAGACAAUGGGCGCAAGCCUGAUCUAGCCAUGCCGCGUGAGUGAUGAAGGCCUUAGGGUCGUAAAGCUCUUUCGCCAGAGAUGAUAAUGACAGUAUCUGGUAAAGAAACCCCGGCUAACUCCGUGCCAGCAGCCGCGGUAAUACGGAGGGGGUUAGCGUUGUUCGGAAUUACUGGGCGUAAAGCGUACGUAGGCGGAUUAGUCAGUUAGAGGUGAAAUCCCAGGGCUCAACCCUGGAACUGCCUUUAAUACUGCUAGUCUUGAGUUCGAGAGAGGUGAGUGGAAUUCCGAGUGUAGAGGUGAAAUUCGUAGAUAUUCGGAGGAACACCAGUGGCGAAGGCGGCUCACUGGCUCGAUACUGACGCUGAGGUACGAAAGUGUGGGGAGCAAACAGGAUUAGAUACCCUGGUAGUCCACACCGUAAACGAUGAAUGCCAGUCGUCGGGUAGCAUGCUAUUCGGUGACACACCUAACGGAUUAAGCAUUCCGCCUGGGGAGUACGGUCGCAAGAUUAAAACUCAAAGGAAUUGACGGG
rnacentral:rRNA from 1 species